GAGUCCGUGGCUCAAUGGUAGAGCGUUCGACUCAAAUACCAAAAAUCGCGGAUUCG
rnacentral:tRNA from 1 species